AGUUUACAGCUACAGAAAUAUUACUUUCAACGAUGUUUCGCUACAAGGUAUCGUGGGUUUUCGUGGUAAUUUUGUUUACGUUUUCGUCCGACGGUGCGAGUAUAUAUGAUCCUGGUAAGCGGUUACAUAAAAUCGUUUAAUUGACAUGCACAUUAGAACGAUGAAAUACCAAAAGCAAUAAUUUCGGAUUGUCAGCAUUCGCAUAAAGUUUUUUAUAGAGUUCUUUUGACUUUCAUUCAUUAUAGGUAGAAACCGGAUUUAUAUUCUUUUAUAAUCCAUAAAAAGGCACUUAAAAACACCAAAAAAGUACGAAAAAAAAAACACUUCAAAAUAAAAUCAUAUGUAUAUUAUAAUUAAAAUUACUUUUUAUUUAUCAUUUUUGUAGUGUUAGAAAACUAUAUUUAUAACUUAAAUCUUAUGGAAAGAGGGCUAUUAAACCCCUCUAUUAUUUUUGUGUUUUUGUAUAUUUGUUAAGUUAUUUUUUUUUCCAGUGUUUUUUAGCGUUUUUAAGAGCUUUUUGGAUUUUAAGAACAUAUUAAUCUGGCCUCAGUUAUAGGUAUCUUAUAAAAAACGAACCGAUUUUAAGAGUCUGAACGGAGUGAGGAAUGUAUUGCUUUUACAAUGAUUUAUAUUUUUAUUUUUUUAUGUAAAUACUUUUGUACCAGAAAGCAUACUCCGAUUAUCAAUACAGCGCUUUUUCUGAUAAUGUGGAAAAUCUGGUUUUUUAAGUUAAAAAAAAAAAAAAUAAAAGAAUAAAAAUAAGGUUGUCAUUGACAACUGUUUUUAUUUAUUUCUUUGUUACUAUUAAGUUUUUAUUAUUUUAAAAAAUAUUUUUUAAACAAUCAUUGUUUUCAUAGAAACGCACAUUGUUUUAAUCGUUUUAUUUACUAUAAUUUUAUGAUAUAUAUAUAUAUAUAUUGUUGAAAAAGCAACUCUGUCAACUGAAUUCCGCUCAGAAUAAUUUAUCGUAACUUACAGAUAUGUAUUAAAUUCCCGUCUGUAUCCUACCUUCCCAACUUUCCACGUACAACAGUAGAUGCACCUACGUAUGAAGUAUGUCCGUCCUUUUAUAUAUAUAUAUUUUUUAAAUCGGAUAUGAAUGCAUAAAAAAUUAAAAUUUUAGAAAAAUGUUCUUUUAUAAAAUGGCUAUUUUGAAAAUUGUCUAAAAUGAAUAAAUAAAAAAAAAACUUUUUUGUAAUUAGGGAAUAGUAAUAAAAAUUUAAUUUUUCACCAAAUCGAUGUUCCCCUCGAAAAAAAAAACAAUUAGAAAAAAAAAUGUAAUAUUAACAGCGCCAGAAAAAUCCGUCGACAUGGUUGGACACAAUGUAUUUAUACUUAUAUUCGACAUAAAAUAUGUAAUUUGACUUCAUGUUAGGUACCUAUACACAUGCUGCAUUAUUUUGUUCGAUUAUUAAUUUACCGUUAAUUAUUACGAGUGAUUUGGGUUAAUAGAUGACUUGCUCGUUAGAGGAAUCAGAAAUCAGUAUGGUGUUAAUGGUUUUUAUGGUUCUAUUCGAGAACCUAUGUAUUCGUACUACGGGCCAAGUAAGCGAAAUUAUUUAUAUGUUAUACAUGACUUUUAUCAGCCAUAUUUUCCUAAAAAAAAAAAAAAAACCCCCAAAGCGUACACACUCAUUUACGAAUUUCAACAACGAAUAUUUUGAGGGAUAUGAGCGUAUACCUACUUGUUCUAUUUUUACUGGGUAUACGCUGAUUGACCAAAUGGCAAACGAAUACUCGCCGCAUGCCACCGUAAACCCUCCAAAACGCCAUCGAGUCUAUUAUGACACACAAGAGACGUUCGCGUAACAUUAUUCCGUAGAUCUAAUUUGGCGGCAUAACGCACACGCACGAUAAUCGCUUCCGCGUGCACAUACUAAAUUACUCUGUAUACAGCUUAUACCUUCCCAACUAUCCACCCGCAACAGUCGCCUGCCCGAGAUCAAUCACCGCUCUUCGAAAUUCAUAUUAUACGUCUCACUCCCGCUCCUAAAAAUAAAUCCUGGUCAUGUCACUGGUGUACUAUAAGUAUAUAUAAUUGCAAUAAUUGUUAUUAAAGAUUCAUUGUUGAAGGUAGGUUAAUUGUUUAACAUAAUGUAUAGUUACGCCAAUUAAAACUAUAAUUAUCUUUAUUAGAUAUUAAAAAAUUGUAAUGCAUUUAUAUUUAUUAUUUUCAGUUAUUACAGAAAAGAUAGGGUCAAGAAUAGUAUGAAAAUUUGUAUUAAAAAAACAAUUUAAAAUACAUUUUAAAUGAUAAAUAUAAUUUGUUUAUUGUGAGAUUUUAUUAUAAUUUUAAAAACACAUAUUUGAAAUCAUAAUAAUGGAAAUCAAUUUUAAUAAUUAUAAUAUUGUGCUUAAAAUGUAUGUGGAUAUUUAAGAGAUUUUCGUUUACCUCUACUAUCUCGGACGCGGAAAGCAGGUUCAGGAUCAAUUUUUGAG
rnacentral:lncRNA from 1 species